rnacentral:rRNA from 1 species
AUUGAACGCUGGCGGCAGGCCUAACACAUGCUAGUCGAACGAGUGGCGGACGGGUGAGUAAUGUCUGGGAAACUGCCUGAUGGAGGGGGAUAACUACUGGAAACGGUAGCUAAUACCGCAUACCAUCAGAUGUGCCCGGAUGGGAUUAGCUAGUUGGUGGGGUAACGGCUCACCAAGGCGACGCUCCCUAGCUGGUCUGAGAGGAUGACCAGCCACAGUGGAACUGGGACACGGUCCAGACCCCUAGGGGGGGCAACAGUGGGUAAUAUUGCACAAUGGGCGCACGCCUGAUGCAGCCAUGGCGGGUGUAUGAAGAAGGCCUUCGGGUUGUAAAGUACUUUCAGCGGGGAGGCGUUACCCGCAGAAGAAGCACCGGCUAACUCCGUGCCAGCAGCCGCGGUAAAC